rnacentral:rRNA from 1 species
GUCUUUACUGACGCUGAGGCACGAAAGCGUGGGGAGCAAACAGGAUUAGAUACCCUGGUAGUCCACGCCCUAAACGAUGAGUACUAAACGUUGGAUAAAACCAGUGUUGAAGUUAACACAUUAAGUACUCCGCCUGAGUAGUACGUACGCAAGUAUGAAACUUAAAGGAAUUGACGGGACUCCGCACAAGCGGUGGAUCAUGUUGUUUAAUUCGAAGGUACCCGAAAAACCUCACCAGGUCUUGACAUGCUUUUGCAAAGCUGUAGAAAUACAGUGGAGGUUAUCAGAAGCACAGGUGGUGCAUGGUUGUCGUCAGCUCGUGUCGUGAGAUGUUGGGUUAAGUCCCGCAACGAGCGCAACCCUUGUUGUUAAUUGCCAUCAUUAAGUUGGGGACUUUAGCAAGACUGCCAAUGAUAAAUUGGAGGAAGGUGGGGACGACGUCAAAUCAUCAUGCCCCUUAUGACCUGGGCUACAAACGUGAUACAAUGGCUGUUACAAAGGGUAGCUGAGG